AACGAACGCUGGCGGCAGGCCUAAUACAUGCAAGUCGAACGCACCGCAAGGUGAGUGGCAGACGAGUGAGUAACGCGUGGGAAUAUUCCUUGCAGUACGGAAUAACUCCGGGAAACCGGUGCUAAUACCGUAUACGCCCUUUGGGGGAAAGAUUUAUCGCUGCAAGAUUAGCCCGCGUCGGAUUAGCUAGUUGGUGAGGUAAUGGCUCACCAAGGCGACGAUCCGUAGCUGGUCUGAGAGGAUGAUCAGCCACACUGGGACUGAGACACGGCCCAGACUCCUACGGGAGGCAGCAGUAGGGAAUAUUGGACAAUGGGCGCAAGCCUGAUCCAGCCAUGCCGCGUGAGUGAAGAAGGCCUUAGGGUUGUAAAGCUCUUUUGGCGGGGAAGAUAAUGACGGUACCCGCAGAAUAAGCUCCGGCUAACUUCGUGCCAGCAGCCGCCGUAACAC
rnacentral:rRNA from 1 species